CCCCUCUCAUGGUCCGCAUCUGGAGAUUUUCCAGCACUCUACCAGUCUCGGCUAUGGGAGGGACAGUCAAGCAGGGGCUUACCCAUUCCAUUCCUAGCUUGGGCAGUGGCUAGUGAGCGGAAGGCAGUCUGCUACAAGU